UACAGAGGUCCCGAGCGUUGUUCGGAUUCAUUGGGCGUAAAGGGUGCGUAGGCGGCGGGGCAAGUCUGAUGUGAAAUCCCGGGGGCUCAACCCCGGAACUGCAUUGGAUACUGCCUUGCUAGAGUACUGGAGAGGGAACUGGAAUUUACGGUGUAGCAGUGAAAUGCGUAGAGAUCGUAAGGAAGGCCAGUGGCGAAGGCGAGUUCCUGGACAGUUACUGACGCUGAGGCACGAAGGCCAGGGGAGCAAACGGG
rnacentral:rRNA from 1 species